GCAGACACAUUCCAGCCAAUCAGCAGCAGAACCUCCCUCCCAGACCCUCCCACCUCCUGGACAGCAUCCAUUGUGAAGCUGCAUUCUUAGUGAGCUGUCCAGGAGGUGGGAAGGGUCUGGGAGGGAGGGUCUGCUGCUGAUUGGCUGGAAUGUGUCU